rnacentral:rRNA from 1 species
GACAGAGGGUGCAAGCAUUAAUCGGAAUUAUUGGGCGUAAAGAGCUUGUAGGUGGUUUUACAAGUCAGAAUUCAAAUCUCAUGGCUCAACCAUGAAAACGUUCUGAAACUGUAAAACUUGAGUGUCGUUGGGGGCUAUAGAACUCUUGGUGUAGCGGUGAAAUGUGUAGAUAUCAAGAAGAAUACCAACAGCGAAGGCAGUAGUCUGGGCGAACACUGACACUGAGAAGCGAAAUCAUGGGGAGCAAACAGG